rnacentral:rRNA from 1 species
AAGUUUCAACAACGGAUCUCUUGGCUCUCGCAUCGAUGAAGAACGCAGCGAAAUGCGAUAAGUAAUGUCGAAUUGCAGAUUUCAGUGAAUCAUCGAAUCUUUGAACGCACCUUGCGCUCCUUGGUAUUCCGAGGAGCAUGCCUGUUUGAGUGUCA